GGCUCAGAUUGAACGCUGGCGGCAUGCCUUACACAUGCAAGUCGAACGGCAGCACGGGGCAACCUGGUGGCGAGUGGCGAACGGGUGAGUAAUGCAUCGGAACGUGCCAUUGAGUGGGGGAUAACGUAGCGAAAGUUGCGCUAAUACCGCAUAUUCUGUGAGCAGGAAAGCAGGGGACCGCAAGGCCUUGCGCUCUUUGAGCGGCCGAUGUCAGAUUAGCUAGUUGGUGAGGUAACGGCUUACCAAGGCGACGAUCUGUAGCGGGGUCUGAGAGAAUGAUCCGCCACACUGGAACUGAGACACGGUCCAGACUCCUACGGGAGGCAGCAGUGGGGAAUUUUGGACAAUGGGCGCAAGCCUGAUCCAGCCAUGCCGCGUGAGUGAAGAAGGCCUUCGGGUUGUAAAGCUCUUUCGGCCGGGAAGAAAUCGCAUGGGUUAAUACCCUGUGUGGAUGACGGUACCGGAAUAAGAAGCACCGGCUAACUACGUG
rnacentral:rRNA from 1 species